rnacentral:lncRNA from 1 species
UUUAAGCGUGAAUAUCAAUUAAGUGAUCAGAUCUAGGGUUUUGAUUCUAAAGUCUGCUCCCCAAAAUCACUAGAACCAUAAACUUUGCUCCACCAUCAUUGAUGGAAUCAUCCUUCGCUCAACCAUCACCGAUGGAAUCAUCCUCCGCUCCACCUCACUAUCAACGAUCUCCCCUGAAUCACAUGGUAACGAUUAGACUUCAACAACAAGCAAAUCAUUUUGUUUCUUAACUGCGACAAAUAUUGUAAAAUUCAAAUUCAGUUGAUUUAUUGGAUUUGUACUCACUAUUCACGAGCAUUACAUGGUGCACACCAUGUCGCUAGGAGAGCUAUCAAGAACGCUAGAAAAGCGUCACGAAUCAUCACUUAGCUACUACGAUUGAAAAGUUGAACCUAGUUAUCAAGGAGCUCGUUAAGGAAAAAAUUGAAGAAAAAGAAAGGUUCAAUGGAAUUAUUGCGGGGUUGUUGGCGAAAAAGAAAAAGAUAAGGUGGAUAAAGAUGCUAUGCUUGAUAGGAUGUCACAAAUUAAAGUUAUGUUAAUAGCUACAGUUCGAAGAUAGGCUAUAAACACUUGGUUGUGAAUGUUUAGAUAUUUAUCUUAACAGGAUAAUUUUAGUUAUUUUAUGUUUUAGUUGGUAUUUUUAUAUGCUUUUGAAAACGAUAUGUUUUAUAUAAUUAUGGGAUU